GCCAGAUUCUCAAAAUCUGGGUAUUAUCAUAGGUGGCGUUUUAGCAAUAUCAUAUCCAAGCCACGAAUACUUUGCUACUCGGAAGAGUAAUCUUGGAGUAUUUUGCAUGCAGAAAUAAGUCAUGUGAUAGAAAAAUAUUGGGGC